GUGGAGCUCUUACUCACCGGCGU
rnacentral:snRNA from 1 species